CUCGAAGCGUACGUUAGCACUGACUCGACACUUUUUGGAUUCCCCAUCCCUUUGCAGCAUUCCAUGAACUAGCAUGGCAACCCUUUCUUUUCUUCUGCAUAAAAUACAUUACAACGUCGUCACAACAUACCUUGCACCAAAUCUCUUCAUUCUCUCUCUCUCUCUCUCUCUCUAACACUUUCCACCGCCUCCGAAACUAAAUUAGCUUCUUCUUAAGCUUAUUAUUAAAAUAACACUUCCACAAACUCACGCUGCCUCCACGGUCCCUCCAGGGGUCAAAAUCGAUCGUCAUCGAGUUUGGACCAACGUUCAUUCAAUCUGCAACUCUCGGUAGUACUACAGUGCUAUAUAGAAGAAACGAAACGAAACUCUAUGGUGCUUAAUAGUGUUGUUUGAGUUUUUAGGUUGAGAAAGAAAGAAAGACACGGCGACGAAGACGGAGAACAGUGGUGGUUCUUCUUCGCACGUGCGAGCGUGCUUCACCAUCGUCUGUGCCUGCAGGUGUAGGUUCGUGUGGGUUGGUGGUUGAAAAAAAAGAGGUGGUUAAGAUCACGGUUUUUGAGUGAAGGAACAGUGAGAUUUUUUGUUUUUUAUUUUUUUGAAAAAUGCCUCACAGAGCAACUUACUUUUUCCCGAGGCAGUUUCCGGAAAGAGGAUUGGAUGAAUCUUCGAAGCAGAGAUUACAUCACGAGAAGAGGAAAAUCGUCAACUCCAUCAAAUCACCGGAUACUACGACUUUUGCCGCCUUCGAAAGCGACGCGCCGAAAAAGCAAACAGCACCACCACAGAGUCAGAGUCAGAGUCAGAGUCACACACAUGAUGAGAAAAACGACGUUGUUUUCUCGUCCACUAAGCAAAACGCCGUCUCCGAUUUAUUCACCGACGGCGACAAGUUCCGAACCCAGCAGAAGCAAAUCGCCGCCUUCUGCGACUGGUUGAUCGAUAAAAAGAAGGAUGGCAACCGUCCUAGUCGUCACCAUUUCAAACCUUAUCCGAAGGAGGAGGAGGAUGAACGUGAGCCUCUUCUUCCGCCGGCGGCGGCGCAGGCUGUGAAGGAUGCCGUCGACCAGAGCUUCGACCGGCAGGUUUCGCUGCCGCGGCUGUCCAGCGGGAGCAGCCACGCCGGAAGCUUGUUCACGCUGGACGGCACCGCCACAUUCUCCAGCGACGUCACCAAAGACGAAACGUCGUCGUUUUGUCAAGUCUUCGCCGAAGAAGACGCAACGAAGAAACAGCAAGAAGAGGAAGAAAAAGAAAAACGCAACACAGCGCAGAAGUACAAAGAAGGCUACUACCUGCAACUCGCGUUUACGAAGAGGCUAUCUUGCUUGGCAAGUCUCGGGUCCGAACCGGUUCUCGCUCUCGACGCUGGCACCGAAACCUGGGACGCUGAAUCCGUUUCGUAUCGUCUAUGGGUGAGUGGGUGCUUAUCGUACACGGAUAAGAUAUCGGAUGGUUUUUACAACAUAUUGGGGAUGAAUCCUUACCUGUGGGUGAUGUGCAACGAUGUGGAGGAAGAAGGGAAGCGGUUACCGACUCUGAUGGCGCUUAAGGCGGUUGAACCCAGCGACACUUCCAUAGAGGUGGUUCUUUUCGAUCGGCACGAAGAUUAUCGGCUUAAGGAGCUUCAGGAUAAAGCUCAAGAGUUGUAUUCUGCUUCGGAGAACGCGUUGGUGCUAGUGGAGAAGCUCGGAAAACUCGUUGCCAUAUGCAUGGGGGGUACAUUCCCGGUGGAGCAAGGAGAUCUACACAAGAGGUGGAAGUUGGUGAGUAAGAGAUUGAGGAACUUUCACCAAUGUGUUGUGCUUCCUGUUGGUAGCUUAUCUAGUGGACUCUGUAGGCAUCGCGCGAUUCUCUUCAAGAGAUUGGCGGAUUACAUAGGUUUGCCAUGUCGAAUUGCUCGAGGUUGUCGGUACUGUGCUUCAGAUCAUAGAUCGUCUUGCCUUGUCAAGAUUAAAGAUGACAGACAGCUCUCAAGGGAAUAUGUAGUUGACCUGGUUGGGGAACCUGGAAAUAUCCAUGGGCCGGAUUCAUCUAUUAAUGGAGCAUAUGUGUCUUCAAUACCUUCUCCUUUUCAAAUUUCUCAUUUGAAAGAAUGCCAAUCGCCAUAUGUGGAUGUUGCAGCAUGUUCUCAAUCUCUUGGUAACACUUAUUUAGGCAGUGUAAGGGAAGAUCAACAAGCUGAAGAAAUUGAUCUGCAGAAAAAUAAUAAUGGCUCUAUUUAUCCUGCAAUAGAUCAAACUCAUGGAGGUGCAGAACCACCUCUAAUUCCUUUUGGCUUGAAAGGGAAUGACAAGGAAUGUGCGAUCCUAGGUUUAUUAAAUUUUCCUCCAGUAUAUGAAGGUGUUUCUAAGGAUCUUCACCCAGCCACUAAAGCGUCAUUACAUGAAUACCCCAGGCUCAGUAAAGAUUCAGUUGUAGUACUAGAAGCUUCCAACAAAGAGAUAGAGAUCAUUGUAAAAGGAAGUUCUGGGGUAAAAAGUAACUAUAGGCAAUCCACACUGAGCUCAUCCAGUCAAUCAAAACAGGAACAAGAGCAAGUAAAAAUUAAAGUUGAAAAUCAGGGUGCUAGUAAUAUUCCAAGAUACUUGAAUCUUGAACCAUCACUUGCAAUGGAUUGGCUUGAGAUACCAUGGGAUGAUUUACGAAUCAAAGAGCGUGUUGGUGCUGGAUCCUUUGGGACAGUGUAUCGUGCUGAAUGGCAUGGAUCAGAUGUUGCUAUCAAGGUUUUAACAGUUCAGGAUUUCCAAGAUGAUCAAUUGAAAGAGUUUCUAAGAGAGGUUGCAAUAAUGAAACGAGUACGUCAUCCAAAUGUGGUGUUGUUCAUGGGUGCAGUUACUAAACGUCCCCAUCUAUCUAUAGUAACAGAAUAUUUGCCUAGGGGCAGUUUAUUUCGCCUAAUACAUAAGCCAGCAUCUGGUGAGAUUCUAGAUCCAAGGAGAAGAUUACGGAUGGCUUUAGAUGUGGCUAAAGGGAUCAAUUAUCUCCACUGUCUAAAGCCUCCAAUUGUGCACUGGGAUCUCAAAACCCCAAAUCUGUUGGUGGACAGAAAUUGGACUGUAAAGGUCUGUGAUUUUGGAUUGUCCAGAUUUAAGGCAAACACUUUCUUAUCAUCAAAAUCCGUUGCUGGAACAGUUGAACUUUCACUUCACGGUGCCACAUCUUCAAUAAGUGUGUAACUCUCUUAAUUUUAUUUUCAGCCUGAGUGGAUGGCUCCAGAAAUUCUUCGAGGAGAACCUUCAAAUGAGAAGUCUGAUGUUUACAGUUUUGGGAUUAUCCUGUGGGAACUUGUGACUCUGCAACAACCAUGGAAUGGACUUAAUCAUGCCCAGGUGGUUGGAGCUGUCGCUUUCCAGAACAGGAGACUUGCUAUCCCUCCAAACAUCUCCCCAGCAUUGGCCUCCCUCAUGGAAUCUUGUUGGGCCGAUAACCCUGCUGAUCGUCCAUCUUUUGGUAGCAUAGUUGAAUCGUUAAAGAAGCUACUGAAGUCACCAGCAGAUGCAAUAAAAAUGGGUGGGGCAGUAACAUAAGGAGUAUUCUGCCCGUGGCUGGGGCUUUUGGUUGCAGAAAUUUAUUCAAUUAACCUGACCCUCGUUGGUCAUAUCAUAUACUCCUAUUUGAUGAUGGCAUGAAGCCCUUUGGACUUUGGUUGUUGCAAUUGUAUAUCGAUCGGUUGAUUCAUGCUAACCCAUUUCGUAAGGGCACUUAAAGCAUUCUAAGUUCUCUAGCUAGCUGGCCCUUUGGACUCUUCUGCUAAAAUGAUGACCUCAAGCUCUUUUAUCUAUAGCUUUGAGAUCAAUAAAAAAAAAUUCUGACUUGCUCCCCCCAAGCUAUAAAUUAUUUGGAGCUUGCUAUUGUUUUUCAGAUGGUAUAUAUGUAAUAAAUUAUUUGACAAUAUGUAUCUCAUAUCUCGUCUAGAACCCUGUUCUUAAGUUUCUGAUUGUGGUGCAAAUUACCCACUCCAUUCUAAGAAGGCAAUUGUGUGUGUCGUUAUGGAAA